rnacentral:rRNA from 1 species
UACGAAGGGUGCAAACGUUGCUCGGAAUCAUUGGGCGUAAAGCGCACGUAGGCGGCUUCGCAAGUCGGAUGUGAAAUCCCUCGGCUCAACCGAGGACGUGCAUCCGAAACUGCGGAGCUUGAGUACUGAAGAGGAUCGCGGAAUUCCCGGUGUAGAGGUGAAAUUCGUAGAUAUCGGGAGGAAUACCAAAGGCGAAGGCAGUGUCCUGGAGGGUGACUGACGCUGAGGCGCGAAAGCUAGGGGAGCGAACAGG